rnacentral:misc_RNA from 1 species
GAUGAAGAACGCAGCGAAAUGCGAUAAGUAAUGUGAAUUGCAGAAUUCAGUGAGUCAUCGAAUCUUUGAACGCACAUUGCGCCCCUUGGUAUUCCGAGGGGCAUGCCUGUUCGAGCGUCAUUAUAACCCCUCAAGCUCAGCUUGGUGUUGGGGCCUGCUGCACUGGCAGCCCUUAAAAUCAGUGGCGGCGCCAUCUGGCUCUAAGCGUAGUAAUUCUUCUCGCUAUGGAGUCCUGGUGGAUGCUUGCCAUCAACCCCCAAUUUUUCUAUGGUUGACCUCGGAUCAGGUAGGGAUACCCGCUGAACUUAAGCAUAUCAAUAGCGGAGGA